AAAACUAUUGCUAAUAUGAUUGGCUGCUAUAUCUAAUUAUACUAAAUCAAGAGUCACUUUUCCUAAAACUGCGUGUCUCUCCUUUUGCCACAUAUGCUUAAGUCUAAAAUUUUGGUCUUUCACAUUCGUAAAACAAUUCACUGUCUUCUACUAUUAUUUUUCAACAGAAUUUUUUUUGACAAAAAAUAAAUAAAAAUCUGACCACUUUUUUAGCAACUGCUCCUUCUACGAUCUUAAGAUUCUUCACUUUCUCUCCCAUCUUUCAAUCCAUUUGCCAGUUAAAUUACGAUCUAAAUGGCAACCGUAUAAGCCUCUUUUACAAAAAUAAAAACAGGUUCAUGUUCUUCUUCUUCUCUCCUUUCUUAUAACUUUAGAUCGUCCAUUCUUUCUUCAAAAUUUGUAUAACAGAGAAACAAAAAGAUGACAUAAACAAUGAAAGUUGAGACUUUUGUGAUGCCUAAUGUGAUGGACGAUGUUAACUCCCCACGACACGUUGAGUUUGGUCCACCUAAUCGCUGGUAUGAAUAUCAUUAAAACUUUGGCUCUUUGUUGCGAAUUACUUGGUCUUAUCUAUUUACAUUUUCUAUGCACCCUGCUCGACAAAAUGCAAAAUGACCAAAUGAGUUUGCGAGAAUCGUAUAGAAACAAAAUGGAUGCAAAUGUUUUGGGGGUUUCAAUUCAAAAGAAGAAAACCAAUUUGAGAGAUGAGUGGCAUGAUUUGGCAUCUUCUUCCACGAUGUAGUCUGCAAAAUGAUUUUAAUGUGAAACCUUCUUAUAUGUUCAAGUUUUAAAAGCGUUUUGAUUCGAAGGUUAUUCAUUUCUCCAUCAUUAUUAUUGUUAAGCUUUUGGAGAAGAAAAAAUAGCUCAGUAUAUCUUUUGUUUUCUUUAUCUACUCUUUCUCUU
rnacentral:sRNA from 1 species